rnacentral:rRNA from 1 species
AUUGAACGCUGGCGGCAUGCCUUACACAUGCAAGUCGAACGGCAGCACGGGUGCUUGCACUUGGUGGCGAGUGGCGAACGGGUGAGUAAUACAUCGGAACAUGUCCUGUAGUGGGGGAUAGCCCGGCGAAAGCCGGAUUAAUACCGCAUACGAUCUACGGCUGAAAGCGGGGGACCUUCGGGCCUCGCGCUAUAGGGUUGGCCGAUGGCUGAUUAGCUAGUUGGUGGGGUAAAGGCCUACCAAGGCGACGAUCAGUAGAUGGUCUGAGAGGACGACCAGCCACACUGGGACUGAGACACGGCCCAGACUCCUACGGGAGGCAGCAGUGGGGAAUUUUGGACAAUGGGCGAAAGCCUGAUCCAGCAAUGCCGCGUGUGUGAAGAAGGCCUUCGGGUUGUAAAGCACUUUUGUCCGGAAAGAAAUCCUUGGCUCUAAUACAGUCGGGGGAUGACGGUACCGGAAGAAUAAGCACCGGCUAACUACGUG